UCUCCUUCACUCUGUUGGUUUCUUAAUUCAACAUCGAGGUCAUAAGCUCUCCUUUCAAUAAGGACUUUAGGGAGAAUUAUGCUGUUACCCCCGAAGUAAUUUGUUCUUGCCCUCCGUUAUAGGGCCCUACUUUUCAGAUAUUUGUUUGUAUAAAUUUAGAUUUUAUAAUUUUUUAAAUCCGCCGUCCCAGCUAACUUUUUAUUUAUUUUAUCCUUUUUUUAUUUAACGUAGUUUAAUUUUACGGGGUCUUAUCGUCCCUGAGGUUUUCUAAGAGUUUAGACCUAGUUCUUAAUUUCGAGUUAUUAUAAGAACAGUUGCCUGCCAUUCAACCCUUUAUACAAGCUUUUAAUUAAAAAGCAAACUACUAUGCUACCUUAGUAUAGUCAGAGUACUAUAGCCCUUUAUUUAUUCCAGUGGGCAGGUUAGACCUAGUGUAUCAUUCUCUGGGACAUGUUU
rnacentral:rRNA from 1 species